UACAGAGGUGGCAAGCGUUGUUCGGAAUUACUGGGCGUAAAGGGCGCGUAGGCGGCCUUGUAAGUCCUGUGUGAAAUCCCCCGGCUCAACUGGGGAACUGCACAGGAGACUGCUUGGCUUGAGUUCGGGAGAGGGAAGCGGAAUUCCGGGUGUAGCGGUGAAAUGCGUAGAUAUCCGGAGGAACACCGGUGGCGAAGGCGGCUUCCUGGAUCAACACUGACGCUGAGGUGCGAAAGCGUGGGGAGCAAACAGG
rnacentral:rRNA from 1 species